AUUGAACGCUGGCGGCAGGCCUAACACAUGCAAGUCGAACGAGUGGCGGACGGGUGAGUAAUGUCUGGGAAACUGCCUUAUGGAGGGGGAUAAAUACUGGAAACGGUAGCUAAUACCGCAUACCAUCAUAUGUCCCCAUAUGGGAGUAGCGUGUUGGUGGGGUAACGGCUCACCAAGGCGACGCGCCCUAGCUGGUCUGAGAGGAUGACCAGCCACACUGGAACUGAGACACGGUCCAGACUCCGACGGGAGGCAGCAGUGGGGAAUAUUGCACAAUGGGCGCAAGCCUGAUGCAGCCAUGCCGCGUGUAUGAAGAAGGCCUUAGGGUUGUAAAGUACUUUCAGCGGGGAGGCGUUACCCGCAGAAGAAGCACCGGCUAACUCCGUGCCAGCAGCCGCGGUAAUAC
rnacentral:rRNA from 1 species